rnacentral:lncRNA from 1 species
CCCAGCUCACGGGAGCUUGCAGUCUAACACAGGAAACAGCCACCUGCAUCUGUAAAGGUACUGAUGAGACCUCUUUAGUAUGACACUGGCAACUGACGGCACUGCGGAUAUGUUUGGAAUAAGGUUCAAAAGAAGAGGCUGUUCUAAGAAAGACUACCGAGUAAUCAAUCACCUCCUCAGAGAAAGUCUGCUCAGGAAACUCUCCUCCCACCAGCCCCUGCACUUGGUUCCUUGCGUUGCCUCUGGCUGGAAGCUGUUGUCCCCAACUUCAGAAAGUGUCUGCAGAUUUCACAGGCUCUCUCUUGGGUCAAGGGACCAGCUCUGUGAACACGGCAAGUAACAACAGAGAGAAAACGUGAGGAGAAAAGAGAGACCGGGAUUUUGAAAUCCUGUUUCCUGAAUGCCAUCUCACCAGGCACACG